UUAGUUAAAUUAAAUAUAGUUAUUAAUUAUUAUAAAUAUUGGAGAGGCAGUUUGUUGUGGGUAUUCCAAAGUCGAUGAGGUAAUACGAAUCCAGGCUACAUUCUCAAAAUAAAUGGCUGUGCUUACGAUAUUUUAUGUGAGUGUUCAUUUGUAGUUCGCGUAGUGUAUCGGUUAAUGAAGUUUUUGAAUCGAUAGAAUCUAUUAACCAGUUAUUUAUUAGGUACCUAUAGGUCUACCAGCAUCUGAUGGCAUAAAAAAAGUAAAAAAAAUAUUGAUUUUCCUAUGGUAAUAUUAAACUGUCUCCUGUCAUGUCGAAGUACAUGUUUUGUCAACAAUACUGAGAUUUUCCAAAGAUUCCUUGAAACUAUUCUGAAUUUCAUAAGAAUGUCGAAAAAAACCACUUCGAUCACAAGCAAGAAAGAUUGUUUACAUUGUUUAUUGUAAAAUUAGUGAAGAAGCAGUUGGAGAUCAACCGCAAUCUUCGAUUUUAAAUCGCGUCCAAAGUUGACCGGAGUUCCUAGCACUACCAUACGACGAAUAAUUGCUGAAGGUAGACCGAAUGGAAGUGUAUUUAGUGCACCCGGUAAAAAGAAGAGAGGUGGAAAGAAAACAAAUAACCAGGAGAGUUUUGAUUUGGAAAUAGCAUAAUAUAAGUGAUCUUUUCAUAAA